rnacentral:rRNA from 1 species
UGUAUAGGGAAACUGGCUCAAAUGUGUCUGUACCCAGAUAAGUAUUCGUAAUUAAUAUGAGAUUAACGUAAGAUUAAUUAAAAUUCUAAGUAGGUAUGCUGAUAAUGACAAUAUCGUGCUUAGCGUCUUGACCAAGUCACGCGCCAGCAGUCGCGGUAAUACNUGGAAGACAAGUGUUAUUCAUCUUUAUUGGGUUUAAAGGGUACCUAGACGGUUAAUUAAGCAAUGCAGAUGUACUAAUUAACUAGAGUUUAAUGUAAGAAGGAUUGAGUACGGUGAGUGUAGAGAUAAAAUUCUUUGAUACCACUUAGGAACUGGUAACGGCGAAGGCGACCUUCAAUGUAAAAACUGACGUUAAGGGACGAAGGCUUGUAAUAAAUAACAGGAUUAGAUACCCUAGUAUUGUGAGCAGACAAUGAUGAGUGUCAUAUACAAGAUUUUUUUUGUGUAUAAAUGAAAGUGUAAGCACUCCACCUCAAGAGUAACGUGGCAACAUGGGAACUGAAAUCAUUAGNCCGUUUCUGAAACUCGUAGUGAAGUAUGUUGUUUAAUUUGAUAAUCCUCAAAUAACCUUACCACAAUUUGAAUAACUAACAACUUUCAGUGCAUUGCACUUGAAGUAUAGUNACNAGAGUUGCACGGCNGUCUUCAGUCAAUGUUGUGAAACUUUGGUUAGAUCCAUUUAAUUGGCGUAAACCCUUNCAUUAUUUACUAUAAUGAUGUUCNCCGCUAUAUUGGUAUGUUAUAUAGUGGGANCUAAGCACAAUGUCAUCCAUGCCCC